AUUUAACUUUUGUACUAAAUUGAGGCGCCAAUUUGGCCUUUGGCCAAUUCCUUGUAUACUGAAAAGUUGUUGUGAUAUUAUUAAUUUGUCACUCUAUAUAUUUGCACAGUUGUUCUUGAAUUUCUUGCAGAGUUUGAGCGGGUUGUUAAACAGCUCUCUUUUUAGAAGAUAUUCUUAUCAUCAGUUCAUAUCUCAAUUGAUCUUAGUCAUAAAAUUUACUAGCAUUUUAUUGAAUGUUCUCUGGCAACUCCUAUCUGAAGUAGCUAUAUCUGUGCAGAUUUGAAAGUAUCUCAUUAUGCUAUAAUCAUGAUAAAGCUGAGGCAUAAUAAAAUGUCAGCACAUAUCAAAUCAAGGAGAACUUUUGAAGCAGGGUUUACA
rnacentral:misc_RNA from 1 species